CAGCUAUGCUAGGCCAUCUGGAUUUAUCUGAAUAGCAGGCAUUUCAAACUCAGGCUGUGCAUGCUUGGCCCUGAGUUGCAGUUAUUUGUGAAUUCAUUUUAUCUGAUACCACGGGCUGGAGCCUUAAACAACAAAUAUUACCCACAGUUGGGAGGCUGGGAAGUCCAAGAUCACAUUAUCAGCAGAUUCAGUGUCUGGACCGUCACGAGCGAGAGUGAAGGAGCUCCCCACACCAGCGACUGCCCAGGGCCAUGCUGCGAGGAGACCCCGACCUCACCCUCCUCAGGCACAUCUGGCUUUGGCUCCUUUCCUUUUUUCCCCCCUUGUUUCUUUUUUUUUAAACUUUGAUGCUUUUAAGAAUAAUUUUACUGGCACAUGGGUGAUUUAUAACGUUGUACUGGUUUCCUUUGGAAAAUGUCCCCUUCUCCUCACAGCCACAGAGCCCCUGCUAGGGGCGCCGGUGGAGGCUGCUUCCUGCUGGGGCAGGAGCCCCAAGAGGGCAGCCUGCUCCCCAGGCCAGGGUGCUGGGGGCACGGGGCCCAGACCUACUCAGCCUGCCUCCCUCUUUGCUGGUGCUGAGGGCUGCGGGGGCGGGGCUCACCCAGGGCUGUGGAAGCUGAAGGGGAGUAGAUUUAUCACAGGAAUAGGGCCCCUACACCUGAGAAGCCUCUACCUGCUUCAGAGCAGCAGCCACCCCAGUGCACGGAGCUCGCAGACCACGCCAAGCUGUGCCUUCUGGUCCCACUGAGUGCAGCUCAUGUCACACCCCACCUGUCGGAUGUCACAGCAGAGCCUCCCAGGACAUGUCAUCCAGGCAGGGAGAGGGGGAUGCCCGCGCCCUCACCCAGGCCCAGGCACCCUUUCUCAGGCCCAGGCACCCUUUCUCAGGCUGAGGUCCAUUGAUAAUCUGGGAGACCCUUUCCAGGUGUGACUCUGCAGAGCCUGGGCCAGUGCAGACCAGGUUCCAGAAAGCCACAUGGGGCAGAGAGACCAUCCUAAGAGCCGGUCACAGGCUGUAAGCUGUCAUCUUGGUUUAGAUGCCAGUGUUUUCUGUACUGUCUGCUGUCCCAGGGCCCACCUUGCCAAGCUCCUUGCUCUACACAUGCCCAAAUGGAUCAGUGGUCACAUUCGUGCACACUCCCAACAAUAGCACCAGCUGGCACUGUGGCGAAGGCUAAAAAAAUAUACUGGCAAUUCAAAAACACUGACAUGUCUAUCGCUCGAGUACCAUCACCCUUGGGAGAGCAACUCUUAUCCUCUGUGAGCCCUGGGGUUUCAGUGGUCUGGCCCAUGGGGCCCUGCCAGGGCCGAACCUCAUUUC
ensembl:lncRNA